ensembl:lncRNA
CCAAUACAUCGGACGCAUAGUCGCAGAAAGCAAUGUUUUACUUUAAUGUACUUUCCCGUUUAUUUUACAUUUAUGAUGAUGUACAUUAGCGUGAUUGAUAGAUGGAAUGAUGAAAUGAUGCAAUUAACAUUUUUUUUGGUCGUUUUUUAAAUUAUUUAAAUUAAUUUAAAGUUGUCUUCUAACCCUCGGUGUCAUUCAUGUGGUCUGUCAUUUCAAAUAAAAGAUGGGAAGAAGAUUUUGGGAUUUUUAAAUUGUAUUUCUAUGUUAUGUAUUUUUAUGAAUGCAGUGAGAAGAGAAAAUACGAUAAAUAGAGUAGCAAAAAAUAAGCAUGCAGCUCUCAAAAGAAAAGUAAAAAGAGAAAUUUAAUAGUCUACACUGUGCAUGUAUUUAUGUGUUAUUUUUGCUACUAUGAGAUCAAACAAAACUCCUCAAAAACGCUACAAUUCAAGUUCACUACAUAGAAAAAAGGACCAAAAUAAAUAAAGAAAGAAAGAAAUACAGGAAGAAAGGAAGAGGAGGAGCAGAACAUAUGAAAGGACCACAGCCUACUGGAGCAGGGAGGACCGCCGGUUUAAUGACAGAGAUGCCAUCGAGGGGAAAGAUUGGACAUGGCAGCCAAUUACGUACAAAGUUCGCUUUCACUAAACCAAAAACUGUGUGUUUCCUCCACACAACUAUUCUUUAAAGAGACAUUUUGAUCACAGAUGCCAGUGGCUACUCUCGCUGCAUCAAGCUGACAGGAACUCACGUCACGCUGAAAUGUAUUAUGGGUAAUUGGGAUGGCCCACUGUGUACGAUACUGUUUAUGGCAGAUACUGACAUCUGAAAGGAUGUUUUAACGUUUAUCUUUUCUGCUGAUGUGGUCUCACUGUAAGUUGUGUGAUACUUUUGUAGUUGGAAAAAGGGCUGAGCUUCAGGCACCGGAUUUCAGCUUUGGUUUCACUCCUGUGCUUUUGAGUCCCUCCUGUGGACUCUGUAAAUAACUACCAGCUAGGUUCAGCAAUUUACAGUUUGUUUUUUUUGCAUCAUUUCAACUCGCUCAAAGGUAUUUUCAACAUGUAAAAAAAAAUUGCAAAAUAUGGGCAGUGCUUCCCAUUUCCCCCGGCCUUCACGGAGGUCAGACCGGGUUCCCCUCCCCACAUCUCCUCAGCCGCGUAGGCCCCGGCCCGAGCGCCGCUGGUCUACUCUAAACAGAGCGAGCAGGAGGAAGUGGAUGCUUUUGUGUGUGUUUCGGACACAGGGUUAGUAUUUGGAGCGGGGAGUUUGGGAGCGGGGUUGAAAUGUGGCGAGGUUGAGGGGCGCAGCGGGGCUGCGUUGUUGCAGUGUUAAGGGUGCAGUGUAGCAGGGUCGAGGUGUAGCGGGGUUGAGGUGUAGCGGGGUUGAGUUGUAGCGGGGUUGAGGUGUAGCAGGGUUGAGUUGUGACGGGGUUGAGGUGUCAGGGGGUGGACGGUGUUCCCGGGAUUGACGGUGUAACGGCGUUGAGGUGUAGUGAAGUUGAAGGUGCAGCGGGGGUUGACGGUGUAGCGCGGUCGACGGCCCACCGCGGUCGACGGCCCACCGCGCUUGACGGUGUAUCAGGGAUUGAGGUGGGGGUUUGAGGCGGGACGGAGGGCCGUUGGGCCAUGAGGACGGAGCACACACCCGACAGACAGAAGAGGUCAUAGGUCACGACACACACUGGGCCACCGAGGCCAGAGUGGGUAUGGUCCUAUCAGUGAGUAUCUCGUUGAGCUCUUUUUCCGACGCAAUAGUGGGGGAGUGGUAAACAAAUAAAUCAGUGUUCCUUUCUCUCUCUCUCUUUCACCCUUGUUUGUCAUCGGUCAUAUGUAUGCCAGUUUGUCAACAGUGAUCUGUCACAUGCAAGUAAGUUCCUCAUUCAUCCAUCUCAAUGCACUGCUCCUCUGGGUGCUUGGGCGAGCCAAUGCACGCCUUACCUUGAUUCACUCAAGUGAAAUCCAGAACCAACUGAACUCUGGCCUGUUUUGCCCUGGGGUUCACCGGCCGGUUCACAGUGGUAUUUCUCUGUCGGUGGUGUAGGGCUGUUGGCGAGGGGAGAAUCAAAGGCAAAAUACUCUCCUCACAACGAGAGAAUUUGACUCUGAGCUGCAUGUGAUGUGACGAGCCAACGCGGCAUGUGAUGUCUGUGGCCAGAGAGACUGAGAGACAGUA